UCCUCUUCCUCACAGAAAGAAACUCGGAAAAUGUACAUCAACAGUACGCAAGUCCAGCGAACCAAACGAGAAGCAACAAAAUUUUGUCUCCUUCCUUGAACGCCCCUCUAAACGUACGAGUGACUGUAGGGCGGGGACACGUGAGAAUCAUCCUUGUGGCCUUAGAUUACACCACGUCAAGGCGUAAGGACAGGAAAUUAAUCAAAGUCAUCCAUCCCCUUUUCCAUUUUCGGAUUAGAUUCAGAGCUUCAGAAAAGAGGUCUGCCUCUAAUGGUGAAAGAAUUCAAAUUUUGAGUUUUUGGGAACGGGCUUGGAAUUUGAAUUCGAUUUGGUUUUCCCCUUACCCCCCCCCCCCCCCAAAGUCCAUUCCAACCCUAAUUUCUCACCUAUAUAAACUUCUCUUGCUUCACUGUUGAGGGGGGCAGCCGCAACCAACGCAAACAAAAUAGUUUACCGAAAGUCAAAGACAAAAUAAUUAUAGCAAUCAUUCGCAAAAUACAUCCGAAUAGAAAAGAGGUUGGUUCUAUUUUUGGUUUCUUCCUCAACUCGUUCAUAGAAUUUCUCAUAGUUUCGUUCGUGUGUGUGGAAUCGCUCUCCACUCUGUUCUUGUCUCAGUCGCUGGCCCUAAGAAGGUAGCAAUCUCACUUAUUUUUUUCUCUUUCUAGUAUUCCCUUUGCUUCUGUUUCUUUCCCGAUGUGUUAUUUUUUUUAUAAUGUAAAGCUCUGCUACAUGGCCGUUUGUCAUUACUUAUCUCGGUGUGUUAAAUAUAUCAAUGCGAUAUGUUCUUUUCCUUGUGAUUUCACGAUUUGGCAAGUCAAAGAUAUCAUCGGUUUGCACCUAAUGUUGAUGUUUUUUUGGUCAUACCUGUGAAUGCUGUCCGUUGGUCUUUAUUUUAGCUCUAUCGCUUGGUUUCUUUUUUUGAGUUCGUGUCGUUCUGUUCUCAUAUUAAGUGUGUUAUGUUUAGCUUAUUAUUGCUUAAUGUUGAUAUUUGCGUAAGCAUGAAUUUUCAAAUCAAUCUAGUUGGUCAAUGUAUACGGUAUAGUCGCGGUUUGCUCUAUGCUUUAGUUUUAUCUAUGGUUUGAAUGCUACUGUUUCCUAGAGAUGAAAACUGCAUCCUUGGUUCGGACUGCCUAAGUACUACUAGUUGUUCGAUGUUUUGAAGUUCAACAACUAACUUUCCUAGCAUGUUUGUUAGCUUAAAAUCGCAAUGGCCAUCUUACUUUGUCUAAAUUUUGAGACAUUCAUCCUAUUUGUUGAAUCUGCCAUCACUUUGCGCUGUAAGUUUGUGACUUAGUCGAACAUGAGGCAUGUCCAUAAUGAGGAUUAACGAUAUUUCAAAAUGUUUUGGGGAAUGAAACGCCUUUAGUUUCAAAUUGAUUGUCGCAUUGGCUAAAGAUUUUUUCUUUCAAUUUUCACACUUGGUCUUUGUCCUCCUUCUCCCCUUUUCCUGUAAACAUUUCAUGUCCAAAUAUUGAAAAUUGUGCUUCCAGUAGCUCAUGUGCAAUUAGAAAAGUUUAGUCAAUUGAUCUUAGCUCGGUGGUUCAAGUUUACGUUAAAUGGGUUUGCAUCUUGUAUAAACUUCUCUUGUUAUUUUUUACUACGUGCUUUGGUUAUUUGUAUAGAUGUAAAAUUGCUCUUCAACAUUAACUAAUAUCUUGUUUUGUUUCCUUUUUAUAUGCAUGUAAAUUCGUCUUGAAUCCUCAUGGACUUCUUCCAUACCCUUGCAUUCUCUCUUGAGCCAUAGGGGCUCAAACUACCUUCCCUGAGUCGGCCAGACCCUGAAAAACCUGGUGUACAGGUCGAAAACAGCAAAAUACAUCGCUGGAAAUUAAACUGCAGGUCGAGAGCAGUAGAGAUAUAACACUGGAAAAUAUUUUUUCAGCCUCGAAAAGUCAAAAUCAGGUUGAUAUACAGACCGUAUACACUGGUAUACAGUGAGAAUAUACAAUAAACAGUUGGAAAACGUGGCCAGACAGUGAAAAUCGUCAAUAUACACAGCGUAUACAUCGAAUAUACACUCAAAGUGUAUCAUGCCUUUGGAAAGAAAAUAGGCCCAAAGGCCCUAAAAAUUGCUGCAGCAGAAUUUGGGCCUAGGGCCCAAAUUUGAUAUUUCCUCUCUUUCUUAUUUAUUUAUCAUGAUAUUUGACUAAUUAUUUUAUGUGAUUUCGGUUUGAUUUAAUUAUUCUCCUA